AUGCUUGGUGAUGGGUUAGGCAGUGGACAUUGAGUGGGGAGCCCAGGGUUAGGGGUGCCUCCGAGAAGGUAGCAGGACCCCAGUCACAGACCCUGGAAACCAGGGGCAUGACUCUUGGGGCCUGGCAAAGGGGGGAGGGGGGGGUAAGGGGAGCAAGGCUCGAUUCUAGUUCUAGAACCUCUGAAACACCAGACAGGAACUGAAGCAGCACCUCCAUCGUUGGAGCCUGGCUACAAGGGACAGGGGAGGACUGGCUAGAGAAGAGAUGGCAGAAGGGAUCUGUGACUGACGAUCGUUCCUCACUUGGGACCAGCACAAGCCACCACCAACUUCAGGCAGGACUCCAGAGAAGGUCUGGAUUCCAGAGCUUUGCUAAGUCUACCAAGCAGUGCCCAGAGUUGGGGGUUCAAAUGAACCAGGACAGGAAUAACCCAACGAUGAGGAUCACGUGA
rnacentral:lncRNA from 1 species